rnacentral:rRNA from 1 species
UACGGAGGGGGCUAGCGUUGUUCGGAAUUACUGGGCGUAAAGCGCGCGUAGGCGGCUUUGUAAGUUAGAGGUGAAAGCCCGGAGCUCAACUCCGGAACUGCCUUUAAGACUGCAUCGCUAGAAUCAUGGAGAGGUGAGUGGAAUUCCGAGUGUAGAGGUGAAAUUCGUAGAUAUUCGGAAGAACACCAGUGGCGAAGGCGGCUCACUGGACUGGUAUUGACGCUGAGGUGCGAAAGCGUGGGGAGCAAACAGG